rnacentral:rRNA from 1 species
AUGAACCGUUAUAACCGGCGAUACCCGAAUGGGGAAACCCAGUGUGAUUCGUCACACUAUCAUUAACUGAAUCCAUAGGUUAAUGAGGCGAACCGGGGGAACUGAAACAUCUAAGUACCCCGAGGAAAAGAAAUCAACCGAGAUUCCCCCAGUAGCGGCGAGCGAACGGGGAGGAGCCCAGAGCCUGAAUCAGCAUGUGUGUUAGUGGAAGCGUCUGGAAAGGCGCGCGAUACAGGGUGACAGCCCCGUACACAAAAGCGCAUGUGCUGUGAGCUCGAUGAGUAGGGCGGGACACGUGGUAUCCUGUCUGAAUAUGGGGGGACCAUCCUCCAAGGCUAAAUACUCCUGACUGACCGAUAGUGAACCAGUACCGUGAGGGAAAGGCGAAAAGAACCCCGGCGAGGGGAGUGAAAAAGAACCUGAAACCGUGUACGUACAAGCAGUGGGAGCACAGGUUUACCUGUGUGACUGCGUACCUUUUGUAUAAUGGGUCAGCGACUUAUAUUCUGUAGCAAGGUUAACCGUAUAGGGGAGCCGGAGGGAAACCGAGUCUUAAUUGGGCGUUAAGUUGCAGGGUAUAGACCCGAAACCCGGUGAUCUAGCCAUGGGCAGGUUGAAGGUUGGGUAACACUAACUGGAGGACCGAACCGACUAAUGUUGAAAAAUUAGCGGAUGACCUGUGGCUGGGGGUGAAAGGCCAAUCAAACCGGGAGAUAGCUGGUUCUCCCCGAAAGCUAUUUAGGUAGCGCCUCGUGAAUUCAUCUCCGGGGGUAGAGCACUGUUUCGGCUAGGGGGCCAUCCCGGCUUACCAACCCGAUGCAAACUGCGAAUACCGGAGAAUGUUAUCACGGGAGACACACGGCGGGUGCUAACGUCCGUCGUGAAGAGGGAAACAACCCAGACCGCCAGCUAAGGUCCCAAAGUCAUGGUUAAGUGGGAAACGAUGUGGGAAGGCCCAGACAGCCAGGAUGUUGGCUUAGAAGCAGCCAUCAUUUAAAGAAAGCGUAAUAGCUCACUGGUCGAGUCGGCCUGCGCGGAAGAUGUAACGGGGCUAAACCAUGCACCGAAGCUGCGGCAGCGACGCUUAUGCGUUGUUGGGUAGGGGAGCGUUCUGUAAGCCUGUGAAGGUGGCCUGUGAGGGUUGCUGGAGGUAUCAGAAGUGCGAAUGCUGACAUAAGUAACGAUAAAGCGGGUGAAAAGCCCGCUCGCCGGAAGACCAAGGGUUCCUGUCCAACGUUAAUCGGGG